rnacentral:tRNA from 1 species
GGUGGCUCAGUGGUAGAGCAUUUGCCUUGCAUGCAUGAAGCCCUGAGUUCGAUUCCUCAGCACCA